UCUGGUGAUGACAAUACUGUCCAGUUCUGUUACUGAAGGAAAGAGAUGGAUGCUUUUAGUACUGAAGAAA